rnacentral:rRNA from 1 species
CCUACGGGAGGCAGCAGUGGGGAAUAUUGCACAAUGGGCGCAAGCCUGAUGCAGCGACGCCGCGUGAGGGAUGACGGCCUUCGGGUUGUAAACCUCUUUCGCUAGGGACGAAGCGUAAGUGACGGUACCUGGAGAAGAAGCACCGGCCAACUACGUGCCAGCAGCCGCGGUAAUACGUAGGGUGCGAGCGUUGUCCGGAAUUACUGGGCGUAAAGAGCUCGUAGGCGGUUUGUCGCGUCGUCUGUGAAAUUCUGCAACUCAAUUGCAGGCGUGCAGGCGAUACGGGCAGACUUGAGUACUACAGGGGAGACUGGAAUUCCUGGUGUAGCGGUGAAAUGCGCAGAUAUCAGGAGGAACACCGGUGGCGAAGGCGGGUCUCUGGGUAGUAACUGACGCUGAGGAGCGAAAGCGUGGGGAGCGAACAGGAUUAGAUACCCUGGUAGUCCACGCCGUAAACGGUGGGUACUAGGUGUGGGGCUCAUUUCACGAGUUCCGUGCCGUAGCUAACGCAUUAAGUACCCCGCCUGGGGAGUACGGUCGCAAGGCUAAAACUCAAAGGAAUUGACGGGG